AACAAAAGAAAAUCUAGCACCGGGGUCUAGCAGCUCCUUCUUCAUCCACUCAUCAAAUUUCUGUAGAAAAGAAAUAAUAAAGACAAUAUGGCAUUGGUUGCUCAGCUUAAGGAUGAGGACAUACUGUUUCUUUAACCAGAGAAGCUGCACAAACCAGAUAUCGAUCGUCAUCCCACCUGAUUUACUGAGCAGUUGACUUGGAAA